rnacentral:rRNA from 1 species
UACGGAGGGUGCGAGCGUUGUCCGGAAUCACUGGGCGUAAAGGGCGCGUAGGCGGCGCGGGAAGUCAUCGGUGAAAGUUCAGGGCUCAACUCUGAAUCGGCCGGUGAUACUCUCGUGCUUGAGCACUGUAGAGGCAGGUGGAAUUCCGGGUGUAGCGGUGGAAUGCGCAGAUAUCAGGAAGAACACCAAUGGCGAAGGCAGCUCUCUGGGACGGUACUGACGCUGAGACGCGAAAGCGUGGGGAGCAAACAGG